rnacentral:lncRNA from 1 species
GAGUUCCAACAGUGCAUAUAACACUUGUAUGAUAGAUGUAAUUUCUGCACAAAAGAGAAGGAAUAAUAGAUUGUGGGCUUGCAGUGAACCCAGUUUUGGCAAUACACAUCCGUUGCUGUCACAUUAAAACACUCCUUUUAAAAAUCAGUAUCAUUCUCUUGGUUUCCACAUAUUUUAAAUACAGAGUUGAUCUAAGAAAACUGAGGUCCCUGUCUGGUCUUCUGCUAUUGAGCAUACCAACAUUUCUCUCCCUGGUGAACAUCUGUAGGCUGACUUGGCAGAAUAGAUGUUUUAAAGAUAGCUUAAAUACUAGAUAUUUUCACCAAGAAAAAAUAAGAGCAAAUAUUAGCCUGAAAAGGAGCAGUAGUAAAGAAGAGCAGUAAGCAUGAAAAGGGUGAAAGGUGGAAUGUUCAGUAAGAGAUCGAAUAGCUGAGAGAGAAGAUUUAAAGAAACAUUUUGUUUGAAAUUUUCAGGUUUAUUUUGUAUGGUGGCAGCUGAGGACUGUCAUGCUCACCUUUGGCAAGCUGAUACAUUAGGAAUUUUGCCAGUGAUUAUUAUUACUGUCUGGCCUUAUUGCAGCCUUGCAGAGCACAUCAGUAGGGAGAGCAAAUUCAGGGACAGCUGGUGUGCUUGUAGCUGUGUUGUCAUCAUUGCUGACACUGACACACAGGUUUUCUAUAAAGUUACAUUUUUAAAGGAAAAGACAAGUGGAAUAGAAGUUGUGAAGGCAGAAGAAACAAAAAGCAGUAUCGACAGCAAGACCCCCCAAAACAAAGCAAAACAAAACAAAAAAGCAAAGAACCUUUCACAGUGUAUCCCUUCCAAAGAACUCAUAAUUUCUACUUAAUGUGACACAUUAGCAUAGUGAGAAUCUGUUCUGGUUUGAAUUCCAAAAGAUAAGGAUAUUUCAAAUGGGGACCUGGUUCUUUCAGGCAUUACACCACUAAAGACAAAUCGCUAUCAGACUGCUGAUAGCUGACUAUGCAGAUGUGCAUGCCUCCAGUAAGAGAAAACUGUUUUGCUGAAAAUUUAUUUCUGUUACAUUCACCAGAAUAAUUCCACCUGCUCUGUGCUGAAAGAUCUAAUUUCUUAUAGUCUCUGACUACAGCUGAAAUCAGAGGAACUCAUAAUCUUCAUUUGUAAUUGAUUUGGACUAGAAGGACAUGCACUUUAAGAAGCAUGAUUCUUUAAGUAACCUGCCCUCUGAAUUCAAUAGGAUUUUGUCAGUAAAACCUUGUGCCCUUUUAAGAAAGUAGUCAUUUUAAUGACUAUCUACUAUGUCUGCAAUGAGUCUCUGAAGUCAGUAGUAGCUUUGCUGAAGGCUGGAUCAUUUGUAUCAACAACUGAAAAUGAUGCUUAUAAUCUACAUCGUUAUAUAUAUGUUGAUAUACUUGUAUACGUCUCUAUAAUAAAAUAAACUUAUAAUCAACUACCGUCAAAAUUUGAUUUCAAAAUCAAUAAGCACAGACAAACUUCUUCUAUGUCUUGAUGGUACUAUAACAGUGGGACGGUAGUAAGAGAGUUGAUGUCAAAGCAAAUGGCCUUUAAAUUUCAUCUUGCUAACUAUGAAAUACUUUCAGAAAAAAAUCAAAAUAAAAACAGAAGAUUUCUUGGAUAAAGAUAAAAGACUAUAAGAAAUCCGUGCCUUCUUUAUAAGAAAUAAUCC